AGAUCGAGCGGGCUCGAAUUGGCGAGAAGGAGUGGGGGAAAAAAAAGGAAGAGGCUCGAUCUUGAUGUUGGCAUUUGUUCUUCUUGUUCACAACAGCAUCGAACUUAUUCCGACAGACUUUCAAAAUUCACGGUUUUUUUGCAAUUAACUUAAUUAAUUAUCCAACAAUCCCUGUUGAAAAAAUCAAUCAAAAUUCAUCAUGUGUGACCACUGCGCAAAAGUUACGAGUCAGAAGGGAUACGCGGGCCAGGUGACGUGUAAAUGCGAGCACGGUGACAAGAGGAUGGGCGAACUCAAGGAAAGGGACUUUGGAGGAUGUUGCUCGAGGAAAGAGAGAGAGG